rnacentral:tRNA from 1 species
UGGCUGAGUGGUAAAGCACUUGGCUUCCAAACCAACGUUCCCAGGUUCGAAUCCUGA